rnacentral:rRNA from 1 species
AUUGAACGCUGGCGGCAUGCCUAACACAUGCAAGUCGGACGAGUGGCGCACGGGUGAGUAACGUAUGGGAACGUACCCAGUGAUGGGGGAUAACUUUCGGAAAGGUAAGCUAAUACCGCAUACCAUCAGAGUGGCCGAUGUGUGAUUGGCUGGUGGGCGGGGUAAAGGCCCACCAAGGCGACGAUCAGUAGCGGGUCUGAGAGGAUGAUCCGCAACACGGGAACGGAGACACGGCCCAGCCUCCGACGGGAGGCAGCAGUGGGGAAUUUUGGACAAUGGGCGAAAGCCUGAUCCAGCCAUGCCGCGUGUCGGAAGAAGGUCUUCGGGUUGUAAAGGACGUUGGUCGGGGAGGCGGUACCUAAAGAGUAAGCACCGGCUAACUACGUGCCAGCCGCCGCGGUAAUUC